UACGGAGGGGGCUAGCGUUGUUCGGAAUUACUGGGCGUAAAGGGCCAGUAGGCGGCCAACUAAGUCGGAUGUGAAAUCCCCAGGCUUAACCUGGGAACUGCAUCCGAUACUGGAUGGCUUGAAUUCGGGAGAGGGAUGCAGAAUUCCAGGUGUAGCGGUGAAAUGCGUAGAUAUCUGGAGGAAUACCGGUGGCGAAGGCGGCAUCCUGGACCGGCAUUGACGCUGAACAGCGAAAGCUAGGGGAGCAAACGGG
rnacentral:rRNA from 1 species